AAUAGAUACCCUGGUAGUCCACCCCGUAAACGUUGGGAACUAGUUGUGGGGUCCUUUCCACGGAUUCCGUGACGCAGCUAACGCAUUAAGUUCCCCGCCUGGGGAGUACGGCCGCAAGGCUAAAACUCAAAGGAAUUGACGGGGACCCGCACAAGCGGCGGAGCAUGCGGAUUAAUUCGAUGCAACGCGAAGAACCUUACCAAGGCUUGACAUACACCGGAAACGGCCAGAGAUGGUCGCCCCGCAAGGUCGGUGUACAGGUGGUGCAUGGUUGUCGUCAGCUCGUGUCGUGAGAUGUUGGGUUAAGUCCCGCAACGAGCGCAACCCUCGUUCUAUGUUGCCAGCACGUAAUGGUGGGAACUCAUGGGAUACUGCCGGGGUCAACUCGGAGGAAGGUGGGGAUGACGUCAAAUCAUCAUGCCCCUUAUGUCUUGGGCUUCACGCAUGCUACAAUGGCCGGUACAAAGGGCUGCAACACCGUGAGGUUGAGCGAAUCCCAAAAAGCCGGUCCGGUUCGGAUUGGAGGCUGCAACUCGCCUCCAUGAAGGCGGU
rnacentral:rRNA from 1 species